AUUGAACGCUGGCGGCGUGCCUAACACAUGCAAGUCGAACGAGUGGCGGACGGGUGAGUAGUGUCUGGGAAACUGCCUAAUCGAGGGGGCAAACUCCUGUAACCGGUAGCUAAUCGCGCAUACGAUAGGAUGUGCCGAGAUGGGAUGAGCUAGUGGGUGGGGUAAAGGCUCACCUAGGCGACGAUCCCUAGCUGGUCUGAGAGGAUGACCAGCCACACUGGAACUGAGACACGGUCCAGACUCCUACGGGAGGCAGCAGUGGGGAAUAUUGCACAAUGGGCGAAAGCCUGAGGCAGCCAUGCCGCGUGUAUGAAGAAGGCCUUCGGGUUGUAAAGUACUGUCAGCGGGGAGGCGUUACCUGCAGAAGAAGCACCGGCUAACUCCGUGCCAGCAGCCGCGGUAAUUC
rnacentral:rRNA from 1 species